GCUGCCACGUCAGAUUCUCAUACUUUCUUUCCUGAGCAGAAGCCAAAAGAAGUGGCUUUUCAGGUCUUCCAGAGUCUAUGAGACACGCAAAUCUCGUCCAGUAAAGGGAACCAGGCCCUUGUCGUUCGAUCCUAAUGAGGUGCCCUUCUCUCAGUAUACAAGGCUCUGCAGGAACAGCAGCAGAUAACCUUUAGCCUACAUCAGUAAUAGUAUCAUGAUUCUGGAAUUCCUCUGCAGCAUGGCUGGUUGCAGUAUAGAAUUCCACAAGGCACGUGCCCUUCUUGGAUGCCAUCCAAAAGAAGACAUUAUCAGAAGGACCUCGUAAUACAGGCUCCAGGAAUGGUGCUGUUGCACCGCCUCUGCUCCACCUCAUGUUCUUGACUAAUUAUGGUUGCUAAUUAGAAGUCUGCUAACGGGGUCUGCUUUCCACAAGCACUAAGACUAUGACGAGACACUAAGACGAUGUAACAAUCACAAAAGGAAAAGUCCACCUGGCCAGGCUCAGCUGUUUCACAUCAUAUCUGAGAGAGGGAAUGCUUCGCCGGAGCUCAUCAUGACUUCAGAGGAAAUGAAGUUCCCUGCUUCGGUGACAAUCUUGAUUGUCCUCAGCUUUUCAGUUUCUACACAGAAGUGGCAGGCUUCACUGAAGGGUCUGCUUUCCUUCACCGCCAAAACAUGAUGGAAGGAAACCCACCUCCGCUGGCACUUGAAUGCCAUUCUGAGAAUGAAUUCCCCACUUCUCCAUCAAGACUCUGAGAAACGGAUGCUCAAUGGCACACAAUAAGGGACCCAAGGCAGACAUCAGGAACCAGAACAAGCAUGAGAUCUCUUGUAUGGCCGACAGUCCUCAGGUUUAGCGUGAACAUUCUUCAAGGCUGGGUUUGAUUCUAUUACAGAGUGCUCCAACUGUUAAUGUCUACAGAAGAAGGCAGCAUGUGGCAGGACUAUCACCAUCAUCAUCAAAUGACUUAAUCACAGCUCAUUUCUUUAACAGCCGAUACUUAUGGAGCAAGUGGAUUUGGAAGGCACAUGUAUAUCAUGUGUACUUAAGUCAACAUCAAGCUAGAACCAGGCUUUUAAAAAACUAGUUUCAUUUCGACAGUUUCUUCCUGGUAAACAAUAUUGUUUUGAUUGUACUUUUGCCCCAAUUGCCUUCUCUUGUCUCCCUCCAACUCCCGUUGACUCCUUUUUCUUCCCAACCAGUUCCCCCUGACUUUUAGUCCUUUGUCAUGUGUUCAGGUUCUAUGCAGAUGGUCACAGUUGCAGUGUGUUUUCAAUCACAUUGGUGACAUCAUAUCUAGAGGAUAAUAUUUUAUAAAACUACACACUAUCCUCGGGCUCUUAUAGUGCCACUACAUCUUCUUCUGAGAUGUUCCCUGGGUCACAGAAUGGGUGAUAGAGAUGUGCCAUUUGAGUCUUAUACUUUAACAAUGCUUUAACCAUUGCUCACUGCCAAAAGAGGUUUCUCUGACUAAGCCUGAGAGCUGCACCAGUCUACAGGUAUAAAUAUACUUUUUUUUCGGUAGGAAGUUUAACUACCUAUCCAUUUAUCAAGCGAAGGGGAUGCUUAUGAAUGUGAAAGAACUGUCCCAGAAGUGAACUGAAUCCUAAGCCUUGCAAUUCAAAGGUAGACGAGCUGGCUCCUGCGGGUUGAUCAGCUGAGCAGUCAAACAAGCGAAGUAAAUUUGCUGCAGUCGUUGGGGUAUUAGAACUCUCCAUUCCUGCCUCUCUUCCUGGUUUCCCAAGUAUUCACUUCCUUGUGGAACAGACUUGCUUGGAGAAACCCUGGCUGCUCAGGCUUGUGGAUGAACAAAUCUAUAACUUCUGGAAGCUCCUGUCCUAGCUUCUCAGUGUUGUUUAGUUGCAUCAGCUGUUUAAUCUUUAAAAUCAAAUUUCUUGAUGUUUAGUUUGGACCAUCUACUUCGCAAGCUUCCAUGGAACCUUCCAUUGGGACAUAUUGGGAAAAAAUGUUGUUUUGAUUCUUGUCUCUUUUGUCUGCCCAUUCGAGUUAGUUGUAGGGAAAGAAAAUGGAAGAUUAGACACAGAAAUGCCAACCUUAUGUGCAACAUAUUUCCUGACAGGUUGAUCACUUCUUUCUCUCACUAUUUGACAGGAAAGAAGGAAAACUGAGUGCAGUCUUAUGAACACUUAACCUCUAGGCCAUUUACUGCACUUACAGUGGUAAGGAACAGGAACGCUGGGAUCUGCAACAAGCCAUUCCUUGCUAAGUGCUAGGGCAAGUCAACUGACCUGACAGACCCAGUCUCAGCCUAUGAUGUGCCACGGUGACAGCUACCUCACUCAGAUGGCAUUUCAGAGUGUCACUUCAAUCACUGCUCUGUUAGUUUUUAAUCUGCUAAGUUCUGAUACAUGAUAGUUGUAAUUGAAUAUUAUUAAUAUUUCUUGUGAUAAUGUGGUUAAAAAAUAAAACAAAGCCCAAGACACUGUGCUCUGCACUGGGCCGAGAACUUAAAGCAGCGAGAAUGUUGAUGAAGCAUAUAAGCCUUUACUUAAGUUCAACCUCAGAGGAUUUUGUCUUACUGUAUAGGGAUAUACAAUAAAGAUCCAAAAUGGUCAAUUCC
rnacentral:lncRNA from 1 species